rnacentral:rRNA from 1 species
AGAUUGAACGCUGGCGGCAGGCCUAACACAUGCAAGUCGAACGGUAACAGGAAGCAGCUUGCUGCUUUGCUGACGAGUGGCGGACGGGUGAGUAAUGUCUGGGAAACUGCCUGAUGGAGGGGGAUAACUACUGGAAACGGUGGCUAAUACCGCAUAACGUCGCAAGACCAAAGAGGGGGACCUUCGGGCCUCUUGCCAUCAGAUGUGCCCAGAUGGGAUUAGCUUGUUGGUGAGGUAACGGCUCACCAAGGCGACGAUCCCUAGCUGGUCUGAGAGGAUGACCAGCCACACUGGAACUGAGACACGGUCCAGACUCCUACGGGAGGCAGCAGUGGGGAAUAUUGCACAAUGGGCGCAAGCCUGAUGCAGCCAUGCCGCGUGUAUGAAGAAGGCCUUCGGGUUGUAAAGUACUUUCAGCGGGGAGGAAGGUGUUGUGGUUAAUAACCGCAGCAAUUGACGUUACCCGCAGAAGAAGCACCGGCUAACUCCGUGCCAGCAGCCGCGGUAAUACGGAGGGUGCAAGCGUUAAUCG